AAGACCUUGGGAAUAAAGGACAACCUUACAGGCUUAGUCCUCCUGUUCUUCCACUGUGCUCCUUAAAGGAAAUUCAAUUGUCUACUGAUAAAUUUUUCAGAAUGGAACCAUCUGAAAUUACCAAUGGUUGUUUUCUUUCUAUUUUAACAAGGGAGUAAAUGCUUCUUUAAUUGCAGCGGGACCCUUCUGAGACAGUGUCUGUGAAUGAUGUUUUGGCCCGAGCUGCAGCCAAGGGUCUGCUGGAUGGGAUUGAGUUGGGUAAAUCAUCAAAACGGGAGAAGAAGAAGAAAAAAUCAAAAACAUCAUUGACAAAAGGUGCCACUACUGAUAAUGGCAUCCAAAUGAAAAUUGCUGAGUUCCUGAAUCGAGAAACUAAAGCCAGUGCUAAUCUAUCAGAGACUGUAACAAAACCA
rnacentral:sRNA from 1 species